rnacentral:rRNA from 1 species
GAUGAACGCUAGCUACAGGCUUAACACAUGCAAGUCGAGGGGAAACGACAUCGAAAGCUUGCUUUUGAUGGGCGUCGACCGGCGCACGGGUGAGUAACGCGUAUCCAACCUGCCCACCACUUGGGGAUAACCUUGCGAAAGUAAGACUAAUACCCAAUGAUAUCUCUAGAAGACAUCUGAAAGGGAUUAAAGAUUUAUCGGUGAUGGAUGGGGAUGCGUCUGAUUAGCUUGUUGGCGGGGUAACGGCCCACCAAGGCGACGAUCAGUAGGGGUUCUGAGAGGAAGGUCCCCCACAUUGGAACUGAGACACGGUCCAAACUCCUACGGGAGGCAGCAGUGAGGAAUAUUGGUCAAUGGACGAGAGUCUGAACCAGCCAAGUAGCGUGCAGGAUGACGGCCCUAUGGGUUGUAAACUGCUUUUAUAAGGGAAUAAAGUGAGUCUCGUGAGACUUUUUGCAUGUACCUUAUGAAUAAGGACCGGCUAAUUCCGUGCCAGCAGCCGCGGUAA